CGAGCUUCCGUUGAAUGACGUGCUUGCACUGAUUUCAACAAUGAAGCGAGUGGCGAACUGGUGAGUAACACGUGGGGAAUCUGCCCAGAAGCAGGGGAUAACACUUGGAAACAGGUGCUAAUACCGUAUAACAACAAAAUCCGCAUGGAUUUUGUUUGAAAGGUGGCUUCGGCUAUCACUUCUGGAUGAUCCCGCGGCGUAUUAGUUAGUUGGUGAGGUAAAGGCCCACCAAGACGAUGAUACGUAGCCGACCUGAGAGGGUAAUCGGCCACAUUGGGACUGAGACACGGCCCAAACUCCUACGGGAGGCAGCAGUAGGGAAUCUUCCACAAUGGACGAAAGUCUGAUGGAGCAAUGCCGCGUGAGUGAAGAAGGGUUUCGGCUCGUAAAACUCUGUUGUUAAAGAAGAACACCUUUGAGAGUAACUGUUCAAGGGUUGACGGUAUUUAACCAGAAAGCCACGGCUAACUACGUGCCAGCAGCCGCGGUAAUACGUAGGUGGCAAGCGUUGUCCGGAUUUAUUGGGCGUAAAGCGAGCGCAGGCGGUUUUUUAAGUCUGAUGUGAAAGCCUUCGGCUUAACCGGAGAAGUGCAUCGGAAACUGGGAGACUUGAGUGCAGAAGAGGACAGUGGAACUCCAUGUGUAGCGGUGGAAUGCGUAGAUAUAUGGAAGAACAC
rnacentral:rRNA from 2 species